rnacentral:lncRNA from 1 species
UGGGGUUGGGCGAGGCCUAAAUAGAAAACACAAUCGCGCGGCUUCAACUUUUGGUUUUCGUUUCGUUUUAGCAUGUUUUAGUAUUGUUAUCAUGAUUGCAAUAUUGUGCUUGUGUUCUUCAGUUCUAGCAAAUCAAUUUAAUUACCCUAAUUCUACUAAUAAAAUUUUGGUGUAGCACAAACUAUACCAAUUGAUGACAAACAGAAUCCAUGACCAUGAGAUCAUGGGUUUGCCAGGAGUUUCCUGAAAUUGUUAUGAUGUUGUGUUUCAAUGUCACACAGUUGGAGUCAAGAGUCGGAGUUGGCAUACCAGACCAUGGAGAUAGCUUUUGGAUCCCAGAAUCACUGUUUUAUGAAAAUGAGAUUUGAGUACAUAGCAAACUCAAAUUUUUGAUGAAUCAAGUUAUUGUUAUUAUUGUUGAUGAGCCACUUUUCUCUGGGUCCUUAAACUGGACUUCACAAGCCACUGGUAAUCAAAUUUUGGAACAUUUCUGUUUAUUCUAAAGUUUCUGAUGACCUGCACCUUUGCAUUCAUUCAUUUACAUUGCACAAGAAAUUUUUUAAUCUCUUGAUCUUGAAUCCUUAUCAAAAUAAAUAAAUGAUUUAUGUUAGAAGACCA